GUGCAAGGUUCGAAUAAUCCACAGACCAAAUAUUAAUUAAAUUUGCCUGAAGCGGUUUAAUUCAAUCGUUUACGUUCUUUUGAAAGUGUUGUACCUACUACAUGAUUUAAGUUUGGAACGAAUAUUGUCGGUAUCAAAACAUAUAUCCUGAACAAUUAUUGAUUCUACAGUUGGCAAGUUAAUUAUAAUUAUACCUCUCUUUUUAUAUUGAAUGUACUCAUAGGUUGAGCUACCUGUACUUGACUCGGUAUUUCUUAGCUUAGUUCUUGGUACCUGCUAAUUUCGAUAUUUCAUACUUGACUUUCGGUCUAAGAGGGUGGAAAGGAAUGUGCCUCGAUGCUGUAAUUUAUAACUGAUUUCUCAAUUACGAUAUACUAUUAUGCAAUAUGCAUUAAAUCACCUAGUACAAAAAUAACAUUUCACAAAAACACUAUAUGCAUAAAUAUCGUCAUCCUUCAUCAUAGAAGAUUUAAAUCACAUUCUACCACCAAGUAAGUACACGUCUGUUAAUUCACAAUAAUAGCAUGAUUGAAACUUAACCCGGAGUUUGCACAUCUCUCUGAAAUUACACUGUUGCCACGGUGGAGUCAAACUGACCCCAAACUUAUCUAAUUACAAAUGAUAAUGAAAUCCACUUAUAAAAAACUGAUGCUACGAUCGAAUCUCAAAGUUCUCGAAAUAUCAAGCACAUUGUUGGCAUUUUAUUCGUUCUCUGCUUGGUCGAUAUGCCGUGUGUCAGUUUGACAGUUGGCGCUAUGUUUUCAUUCACAGAAUAUAACCGUGUUUCUGUCAUCGUCAUCCAAAUGAUGCACUAACUUCAAAUAAAUCAUGAUCAAUUAAUAAAAUCUUUAUAUUGAAGUGAUGUAAAACUUCGAGUAUUCGUUUCCACAUUGAAACGCAAGACGAUGGCAAACGUAAAUCAGCUCAAGCGAGAAUCAGCUUUAGCAGAAGUAAGUUCACAUUAAUCUCUCAUGACUAUCAUAUAUGAAUCAUAAUAUGUCAGAAAAAUUGUUUUUAUUCACAAGAUUACAAAUUCCAAUCAUACAAUAGACGGUAGUGACAACGACGAUUGGAAUUGUACAUAUUCUAAUCGCCAACCUUCAAACGGUGGCAUGGAAAAAGGUUCGUCAUUCUGAUCAGUUAUUAUCUAAGAUUCAAAAAUUUUGCACCCAUUCUAUAAAUUGGAGUUUAUACUAAAAUAAUCAAAGUCAUUAUACAUGAUUCAGCGGGUUAGCGUGAUGCUUAAGAAUACAUAUGUAUAUAACUUAUUCGUAAGUUCAAUUCGAAAGCAGGAAUUUCUUUUUCUUCUCCUUUGCUCGCUCAAGUGCAUUUAUAAGUUUGAUCCAUGAUAGAUAGUAAUUCCGUGCCACGUCUACACAUGACUGCAAAGUAUUACAGAGACGUCCUCAAACAUUCAAGGAAAUAAUGACAGUUCAUUCACUGUUCUCCGCUAUCAUAACAAUGGUUUAAUUUGACUAGUAGAACAAUGUUCAAAUCAUUAGUAAUAAUUAAUCAUCAUUCCAGAUCUAAAUUCAUUUGAAAUGUUUGCCAAAGGUAUUUCCACGACUAGAACAUUAUAGCUCAUGUCUAUGUGGGUACAGUUACUGACAAAUUCAAUUAUACACUGACUUUAUUUCGAUCGAUGCACCGAUAUUAAAUACAUUUUUAUCGCUUAUUUAAAUGAUGUUGAAGUGCCCGUAUCUUGUCCGACGAGCGCUUUGAUUUUUCAAAAAUUGUGCGCUGACAGAGCUACAAGACACGGAAAUCAAUUGAUAUAACAUACUUCCACAAAUCCAGCUACCCUUGGAACGUCAAAAUAAGGGACCACACCUGAAUUUUUCUUAACCGAGCUGCGCUAACUGUAACUACUAGAUUCGGGGACAAAAUAACUUCAUCAUAGUUUUUUAACGCACUUGUCGCAUUUUGUUAAAAUGACAUAUUCACAUAUAUGACAUAAUAUCAAUAUUUUCAAGUUAUUUUAUUCCGGUAUACCGAUAUGUAUCGUCGACCCCAAAGAUUAAAUUAUGAAUUUGAGCCCAGAAUGCAGCGGGUAAUUUUCUCAAAUAAGUAACAAUUUUCGCUAUUCACAUAAGAAUGACGCAGUUCAUAAUUAGUUGGUGUUCAGCUGGUGUCAUCUUGACAAACUAAAUUUACGAAUGCCUAUAGAAACCAGGAUUCAGCUAUGACUCUGCGACGGAAAUUUUCGGCCCUUGUUGGCUUUCCCCGAAGUAGACGUAUGAAUAUUUUCUCAGUACAGCCAGCUUUAAAAUCAUCUAACAGAAUAGUUCUAGGCGCUUCUCUUGAUGCCGACCAGUUUCAAAAUUAUGCUCCUUUAUGCUAAUCUGUAUCACCCAUGCUAUUUUCAAAAUAAAACAUGUAUCCAACGAGAAUCUUGAGCGUAUUAGUAACUGUAGUCAGUUGCUCUACAAAAUGUAACUGAGUACGUCGAAAAAUCUAUGCUUUAUGGUACACAAGUUUUCAUUCAGAGCAUUUGUCCGCUUUGCUCGACUCGCGUAGAAGUUGUGCAUGUGUGGCGUCGGCGGUGUGACCGUGGCUCCGAAUCUGCUCUCUCAUCAGAGAUUUCCCUAAUAUCGUACGUAACGAUGUCAUGUUACGAUGACCCCGUAUUUACCACUCUCUAUUCCGAUGUUCUGCAUAUACUUAGAUAACAUCGCAGUAUUUCUUCAUAUUUGAUCCAUCUUUUCAAGCAGCCGGUUUGUGUGGUUACAAUUCCUCAAUUCACACACCGUCCGCUUUACCAAGGUGAACACAUUUCUGCUUCACGCAGAAGAUGAAAGAUAUGGCGUCGACGUGGUGUUAUAACGUAAGGGCAUGUACUGUUUUGCUCUUGCUGGGCAGUUGCUAUAUAAGUUGCUAUAUAAAUGACGCCUCCGAUAGCAGCAGUGCCGCAAGGAACAAUUCGAGGUGUGAACAUGGUCAGCUACCGUAAUAAAACGUUCUUUGCUUUCAAGGGAAUCCCGUACGCAGAGCCUCCGGUUGGAAAUCUCAGAUACGUUGUGGUAUCAAUAUAAUGUUCAUUAACCUCAAAAUUCAUUUUUCAAAUCGAUAGUAAAAAUGCAUCGACGAAUGUCGAGUCUAAAAUUUGCCCAGCCGUCGUGUGGGGCCCAACUAUCGAACCAGACGUAGAAGGGUCCUUACUGAACGAUAGUCCUGCAAACCUCUUGGCUGCUGGAAAAAUUCGCGAUCUACCUUCGAUCGCCCUCGUCACUCGAGAUGAGAGACUUCAUUCUACUGUUCCAUACUACAGAAAUCCAGACAUUCUCCCGCAUCUUUUGGAUGAUAUCGAUUCCGCCCUACCUGUAAUCGUACAGUACAAAUACUUGUUUGAAAAUGUGACAGCCUUCACAACGACCCUCAAGUCACACUGCGUGAAUUACCUGACUGUCAAUAGGAAUUUGGUAAGUUAUUUCCCCGUAGUGGAUUUCGCGGCGUUUAUUAUUUCAUGUAGGAGCAUUCGUUUUACAUGUGUAUUUAUUGGUGUAUGUAUGUUUCAGUUACUAACGAACAUAACUCAACUCAUAGGUGAUGCCAUAUUUACAUAUCCAACAUACAGUGAUGAAAGAACACUUAGUUAAAGCUGAGAAGUAAGAGUAUUUCGGUUCCUUCGAAUACCGCGGUAGGCUCAGUUUUAAUUAUGAUGGUGGUCUUCCAGCGAACUACGGAGUGACACAUGCUAAUGAUCUGUUGUAUCUUUUUCCUGGACCAAAGAGUUGGUAUGGACCCGUAGAUUGGGAAUAUAACGAUGCUGAUUGGAAAAUGGUGGACACGAUGGUUCAGCUCUGGACAUCCUUCGCGGCUACUGGGUAGUUCUGAUUACUGAGGACCCGUACAGAUAACAUCUCGAUGUAGCUAGUCUGAAUAGAAAUCGUUCUGUUCCACUUUCAGAGUACCGCUGACGUUAGAUUCGGAUGUCUCGACGAUUUGGUCUCCAUUUACGUCUCAUGAUAAUUAUCUUCGCAUUGGUAACGGAUCUGACGUGGCACUAGAAGUUCAGUAUGGUUUUCAUAAAGAACGAAUGCAGUUUUGGGAUGAACUGACCGCUGCUACGACAUGGAAAUA